GUCAUGUAUAAAACAUACUUUUAAAAAUGAUUUGUUUCAGUGCCAAAUGCAUUUGCACGUACACUCAACUAAUAGAUAUAGAUAUAGAUAUAGAUAUGUAGAUAUAGAUUUUAGAAUUAUACUAAUUUAGUUAUUAAUUUUGCAUUAAUAUUUAAGAAAAUUUGAAUGUUGGUAAAUGAUUAAAUUCAAUAUAUUUAAUAUGUUUAAGAAAUUUUAGAAUAU
rnacentral:lncRNA from 1 species